rnacentral:lncRNA from 1 species
GCCCAAAAAGCUGCAUUUUCCCCUCAGUUCUGCCCCUCAUUGUGGAUUUGCACAGAAAUUCAGCCCUGUAAAUAAAUACGCUUCUGUACUUCAAAAUAGCCCCAAAGCAAAACAUCUAAGCCUGUUAUUUAGCUGUUUAAUAGCCUCUUCUUCUGUUUUUUUUCCCUUUAAUAUAAUUUCAACUCUGUCCCAGGCUGGAAAUAAUUAUAUAGUGGGGAAGAAUUUUUUUUUUCCCUUUCUCCCUCUUCUUCCCUUAAUAAUUUUGGUGUUGUUGUUUUGCUGCUUUAUAAUUCACCUUCUGCGGGGCGAGGGGUGUGGGGGGGAGAGAAUAAAAAAAAAUAAAUAAAUCUCUGCCUAGUUAUAAAUAACGGAAGCCAAAUAACUCGGGCUCCAAAGCAAACAGUCGGAGCCACGGGACGAGGCUCCGUCCCGGCGGGUUCAUGCGGGGACCCCGGCAGGGAGCAUCCCUGCCCGCCGCCCCUGGCGGGGAGGGAAAAAAAAAAGCCAAAGCUACUGCUGGAAAUGGUUAUUUCUGUCCUCAGUGUAAUUAAUAGUAAGAGAUUCGGAGUUAUUUCUAGCGAGGUGAAAUUCCUCGGGUGUUUUCUCCUGGCUUUGCACACCGCCAGGGUUUUCCUGGACAUCACCCUCCAACCCAGCUCUGUCUCCUUGGGGUUUGCCUCCCUUCCCUUUUUUUUUUUUUUUUAUUUUGUAGGGGAAAAAAUAAUUUUCAAAAGAGGCUGUAGUUGCGUUUCUAAGCCUGGGAGUGGGUUUUUCCCCGCAGGUGAUCCUGGGCGGCGGGCGGAAAUACAUGUUCCCCAAAAACGCCAGCGACGUGGAGUACCCGCAGGAGGAGAAGCACCGGGGCACCCGCCUGGACCGCCGGGACCUGGUGCAGGCGUGGCACGACACCAAGCCCCCGGGGAAGGUCGCCAAGUACGUGUGGCACCGGCGGGACCUGCUGGCGCUCAACCUCAGCCGCGUCGACUUCCUCCUGGGUGAGUCCCGGGGUGUCCCCAGGCCCCCAGCACCCCGGGGAUGUGGGGGGACCCCCAGGGAUGCCGUGGGGACCCCUCAGGGA